GCGGGUGUGGCAGAGUGGUUAUUGCGCCGGGCUUAAGUCCCGGUUCCGGAAGGAUCUCAGGUUCGAACCCUGACGCCCGCA
rnacentral:tRNA from 1 species